rnacentral:lncRNA from 1 species
CAAAAUGUAAUUGUCCUCGGAAGGGAAUUCCAGGUCUGACAAUGACUGGAUUGUAGUUUUGGAAUCUUUGCCUUCCUGGCUGCAAGAAAUUCACUAAAGGAAGCUUUCUUGGCACAUGGUUCCUCAUGCGGAUGCUUCAAGACAGUGGCUUUCACUACUGAAAGGCAACGAGUACCUGGAAUGCAGGUGGUGCCAUCUUGAAGCAUGAGGUUGAGACCACGCACUACAGAGCAACCAGGAAUUUUAAAGGUUGAAUUUCUAUGAUUCCGUGCCUGACCUUUUGUGGUUGAGAGGAGGAACAGAGUGGCUGUCACAGAUUUGGCUCUUCUGUCUGUCACAUGGAUUGAAAGCGGAGCCUCCGGAAUUGGAGACUGCUGGGAGGAUACAGAGAACCAGAAAUAUGGAUUCUAAUGAGAACACGGUGCAGAGUUUCUGUAUUAUUUAUCCAACUUCCAUAUAAUCUGACAAUUUAUCAUCUGGGAUACCACCUUUGUUCAAGCCACUGUCACCUUUUACCUGACAUGGUCACUUGGAUCCCCCUGAAAUUCCAUGAGGAAAUAAGAACUGGAGGAGCCUCUCUUUUGCAAUGCUGGACUUGAAAGGAAAGUAGGCAGGAAUUAAUUUCACAGAUCCCAAGAUUCUUAACUAAAGGGAAUGUUAUAACCACAUUGGAGAAGGACUCUGCUCCCCUGCCAACAUUUACAUCAUGUAUCUUCC